GUGGGGAAUAUUGGACAAUGGGCGAAAGCCUGAUCCAGCCAUGCCGCGUGUGUGAAGAAGGUCUUCGGAUUGUAAAGCACUUUAAGUUGGGAGGAAGGGCAGUAAGUUAAUACCUUGCUGUUUUGACGUUACCGACAGAAUAAGCACCGGCUAACUUCGUGCCAGCAGCCGCGGUAAUACGAAGGGUGCAAGCGUUAAUCGGAAUUACUGGGCGUAAAGCGCGCGUAGGUGGUUUUGUAAGUUGGAGGUGAAAUCCCCGGGCUCAACCUGGGAACUGCCUACAAAACUGAAUGACUAGAGUACGGUAGAGGGUAGUGGAAUUUCCUGUGUAGCGGUGAAAUGCGUAGAUAUAGGAAGGAACACCAGUGGCGAAGGCGACUACCUGGACUGAUACUGACACUGAGGUGCGAAAGCGUGGGGAGCAAACAGGAUUAGAAACCCGGGUAGUCC
rnacentral:rRNA from 1 species